rnacentral:rRNA from 1 species
GAUGAACGCUAGCUACAGGCUUAACACAUGCAAGUCGAGGGGCAGCACAGUGUAGCAAUACACGGGUGGCGACCGGCGCACGGGUGCGUAACGCGUAUCCAACCUUCCCGAUACUCUUGGAUAGCCUUCCGAAAGGGAGAUUAAUACUAGAUGGUGUUUCACUUUCGCGUGUUAUUGAAACUAAAGAUUUAUCGGUAUCGGCUGGGGAUGCGUGACAUGAGAUAGUAGGCGGGGUAACGGGCCACCUAGUCUACGAUGUCUAGGGGUUAUGAGAGGAAGGUCCCCCACACUGGAACUGAGACACGGUACAGACUCCUACGGGAGGCAGCAGUGAGGAAUAUUGGUCAAUGGUCGGAAGACUGAACCAGCCAAGUAGCGUGAAGGAUGAAGGUUCUAUGGAUUGUAAACUUCUUUUAUACGGGAAUAAAACACCUUACGUGUAGGGUCUUGUAUGUACCGUAUGAAUAAGCAUCGGCUAACUCCGUGCCAGCAGCCGCGGUAACAC